GGGGUCGAUUCCAUUGACUUUAUAGAAGAGUCCUCUGAACAGAGAGCUCCAAGGAGUAUUGAAGGCCUCACAACUCAUCAGCAGCAGUGUCAGCAUCUAAAUCUAAAUACCUGUGACACUUAGAUAAAACCGCAGUCCACUCCUGCCUGCGUACCUUCCAGAGCAUUGACAGCACUGUGGUUCCUGCUGCCCAUGGUCCCUGGCUUUUUAUGCUGUGUACCUAGGAAAGAUUCUUCCCUAGAACAGGACUUGGAAAUCCAGCGCAGGUAUCAGAACAGGUGAUGGCUUACGAUGGAGCGUGUGAACCCCAAGGGCUGCAGUUUUCACGCCAUCUGCCCCAGAGCACAUCUGCUUCCAGAAAGCCUGAGGUUCUCAGGGUAGUGUAUGGUCAGUCUGGAGGUAAAAAUCAAAUACACGUGUGAAUCUAUCGUGAGAAGAAUGCACAUUUGUAAUAAAGGCAAGUUUUAUGUGACCUGAGAAGAAAAGGACCAUGAAAUGAUAGAAUAUUUAUUUAGAAUUUUAACAGCCAUGUACUAUCUGAAGCAGAUGCCUAGGAGGAAGGCAACAGCCUCAGACCAAUGCUCUGGCAAACACUGAGAAGGCAGUAUUUUAUUGUUGCAGGCCUUUAUUUAUCCACCAGCAGAUGUCCCUAUAAGGCAGUAAUAUCUUACAGUGAGAACAGCUGAUUAUGAGAAUCAGAAACUGAACCACUCAUCAUAUUUCCAAAGAUUAAUGGGAUUAAAUCCACCAUGUACUUCAAAAUCUUUCUAGCAAUAGAUAAAAGUACAGAAUAGUACAAAAGUAAAUUUAGUGUACUUCUGAAAACCACAUGGAACAAAGUUCCUUCUUAAAAAAAAAAAUUUAGGAAUCCUUCAUGACCUUAAUUAGCAUUAAGACCUCUUUCUAAAAUAAAACACCAUUUUUUAUUAUAUCUGUGUUAUCAGUUAUACUUUAAUAUUCAUUGAGUGAGGAAAAUACCCAAGGUCCAAAAACUAUUCUGAAUUCAGUAAAAUGUAUUUUGUGUUUAAA